rnacentral:tRNA from 1 species
AUUUUCUUAGUAUAAUUAGUACUAGUGACUUCCAAUCACUAAGCCCUGGGUAAUAACCGGGAGAAAAUA